rnacentral:rRNA from 1 species
AUUGAACGCUGGCGGCAGGCUUAACACAUGCAAGUCGAGCGAGCGGCGGACGGGGGAGUAAUGCCUAGGAAUCUGCCUGGGAGUGGGGGAUAACACUUGGAAACAGGUGCUAAUACUGCAUACUGAUGGAUUGACCCGCGGUGCAUUAGCUAGUUGGUGGGGUAACGGCUCACCAAGGCCACGAUGCAUAGCCGACCUGAGAGGGUGAUCGGCCACACUGGGACUGAGACACGGCCCAGACUCCUACGGUAGGCAGCAGUAGGGAAUAUUGCACAAUGGGCGCAAGCCUGAUGCAGCCAUGCCGCGUGUAUGAAGAAGGCCUUCGGGUUGUAAAGUACUUUCAGCGAGGAGGCGUUACUCGCAGAAGAAGCACCGGCUAACUCCGUGCCAGCAGCCGCGGUAAUUC